UACAAGUAUGUGUACCUGCAAUAAAUAUAGACCAAUAGUAAAUUGUAUGUAGUAGGCUUUAGAUGGACAUCUUAUGAGUAACAGCUUGCCCAUAAAAGAACCUACUUUAUAUGU